AACGUACGCUGGCGGCACGCCUAACACAUGCAAGUCGAACGAAGUAGCAAUACUUAGUGGCAGACGGGUGAGUAACAUGUAGGUAUCUGCCCUUUGGCCUGGAAUAACACGAGGAAACUUGUGCUAAUACCGGAUAAGUCUUUACGGAGAAAGCUUUAUGCACCAUUGGAUGAGCCUGCACUUGAUUAGUUUGUUGGUGGGGUAAUGGCCUACCAAGACUGUGAUCAAUAGCUGAUUUGAGAGGAUGAUCAGCCACAUUGGGACUGAGACACGGCCCAAACUCCUACGGGAGGCAGCAGUGGGGAAUCUUGCACAAUGGAGGAAACUCUGAUGCAGCGAUGCCGCGUGAGUGAAGAAGGCCUUUGGGUUGUAAAGCUCUUUCGUCGGGGAAGAAAAUGACUGUACCCGAAUAAGAAGGUCCGGCUAACUUCGUGCCAGCAGCCGCGGUAAUACGAAGGGACCUAGCGUAGUUCGGAAUUACUGGGCUUAAAGAGUUCGUAGGUGGUUGAAAAAGUUAGUGGUGAAAUCCCAGAGCUUAACUCUGGAACUGCCAUUAAAACUUUUCAGCUAGAGUAUGAUAGAGGAAAGCAGAAUUUCUAGUGUAGAGGUGAAAUUCGUAGAUAUUAGAAAGAAUACCAAUUGCGAAGGCAGCUUUCUGGAUCAUUACUGACACUGAGGAACGAAAGCAUGGGUAGCGAAGAGGAUUAGAUACCCUCGUAGUCCAUGCCGUAAACGAUGUGUGUUAGACGUUGGAAAUUUAUUUUCAGUGUCGCAGGGAAACCGAUAAACACACCGCCUGGGGAGUACGACCGCAAGGUUAAAACUCAAAUGAAUUGACGGGGACCCGCACAAGUAGUGGAGCAUGUGGUUUAAUUCGAAGAUACGCGCAGAACCUUACCAACACUUGACAUGUUCGUCGCGACUCUAAGAGAUUAGAGUUUUCGGUUCGGCCGGACGAAACACAGGUGCUGCAUGGCUGUCGUCAGCUCGUGUCGUGAGAUGUUGGGUUAAGUCCCGCAACGAGCGCAACCCUCACUUUUAGUUGCCAUCAUUAAGUUGGGCACUCUGAAAGAACUGCCAGUGAUAAGCUGGAGGAAGGUGGGGAUGACGUCAAGUCCUCAUGGCCCUUACGUGUUGGGCUACACACGUGCUACAAUGGUAUCUACAACAGGAAGCAAGACUGCGAAGUUAAGCAAAUCCCUAAAAGAUACCUCAGUUCGGAUUGCACUCUGCAACUCGAGUGCAUGAAGCUGGAAUUACUAGUAAUCGUGGAUCAGCGUGCCACGGUGAAUGCGUUCCCGGGUCU
rnacentral:rRNA from 1 species